GCUUACGGCCAUACCACCCUGAGCACGCCCGAUCUCGUCUGAUCUCGGAAGCUAAGCAGGGUCGGGCCUGGUUAGUACUUGGAUGGGAGACCGCCUGGGAAUACCAGGUGCUGUAAAGC
rnacentral:rRNA from 1 species